AUUAUAUCUGAUUCUCACAUGGUUUUGUUUUGGGAGAAGAUGAACAAACACUUGAGAAGAUAAGAUUUAUCAAAUCCAAGAGCAACAAAGAGAGGAUGCUAACACAUGGAGAGCUAGCAUAGCUUCAGCUACGUGGAAAGAUGCUAUCUAGGUCAUAUGAGGAGAUGAAGCUCCAAAAAAUGUUUAUUAUGCCUUGAAUAACUUUUGUUUUCCUUAAGCCAUCUCUAGUUGCUACAUGACGUUAUAGUUAUUACUUUUAUCAUUUGGUUAUUUAUCCAUGUGGCAUAAUUAAUCCACAUUAUUUGUAUAAUUUUAAUUUCAUAUGAAAUCCUAUAGCAACUCUUUUGAUUCUUUUUACUUCA